rnacentral:rRNA from 1 species
CCUACGGGGGGCAGCAGUGAGGAAUAUUGCGCAAUGGCCGAAAGGCUGACGCAGCGACGCCGCGUGAGGGAUGAAGUCCGUUAGGAUGUAAACCUCUUUUGCAGGGGAUGAAUGUUCCCGAUUUAUCGGGACUUGACCGUACCCUGCGAAUAAGGAUCGGCCAACUACGUGCCAGCAGCCGCGGUAAUACGUAGGAUCCGAGCGUUGUCCGGAAUUACUGGGUGUAAAGGGCGUGUAGGUGGGCUUCUAAGUCGGUGGUGAAAUGCUGCAGCUCAACUGCAGAACUGCCUCCGAUACUGGGAGUCUUGAGUGCGGCAGAGGGAGAUGGAAUUCAUGGUGUAGCGGUGAAAUGUGUAGAUAUCAUGAAGAACACCGGUAGCGAAGGCGGUCUCCUGGUCCGUUACUGACACUGAGGCGCGAAAGCGUGGGGAGCAAACAGGAUUAGAUACCCGGGUAGUCUUC